UGUCGGAUUAUUGGGCGUAAGAGUUCGUAGGCGGUUUGUUAAGUCUGAUGUUAAAGACCGGGGCUCAACCUCGGAAAUGCAUUGGAUACUGGCAGACUGGAGUGCAGUAGAGGCUAGUGGAAUUCCCAGUGUAGCGGUGAAAUGCGUAGAUAUUGGGAAGAACACCGGUGGCGUAGGCGACUAGCUGGGCUGUAACUGACGCUGAGGAACGAAAGCCAGGGGAGCAAAUGGGAUUAGAUACCCCAGUAGUCCUGGCCGUAAACGAUGGAUACUAGGCGUAGUGGGUAUCGACCCCUGCUGUGCCGCAGCUAACGCGAUAAGUAUCCCGCCUGAGUAGUACGGCCGCAAGGUUGAAACUCAAGGGAAUUGACGGGGGCCCGCACAAGCGGUGGAACAUGUGGUUUAAUUCGAAGCAACGCGAAGAACCUUACCAGGGCUUGACAUCUGUGGAAUCUUUCGGAAACGAGAGAGUGCUCGCAAGAGAGCCACAAGACAGGUGGUGCAUGGCUGUCGUCAGCUCGUGUCGUGAGAUGUUGGGUUAAGUCCCGCAAUGAGCGCAACCCCCGUUGUUAGUUGCCAUCAGGUAAAGCUGGGCACUCUAGCGAGACUGCCGGUGACAAACCGGAGGAAGGUGGGGACGACGUCAAGUCAUCAUGCCCUUUAUGCCCUGGGCUACACACGUGUUACAAUGGCCGGGACAAUGUGAUGCAAACUCGCGAGAGUGAGCGAAUCACCAAACCCGGUCUCAGUUCGGAUCGCAGGCUGCAACUCGCCUGCGUGAAGUCGGAAUCGCUAGUAAACGCCGAUCAGCACGCGGCGUUGAAUACGUUCCCGGGCCUUGUACACACCGCCCGUCACGUCAUGGGAGUUGGUUUCACCCGAAGGCAGUGCUCUAACCCGCAAGGGAGGAAGCUGACCACGGUGGGAUCAGCGACUGGGGUGAAGUCGUAACAAGGUACCCG
rnacentral:rRNA from 1 species